UUUUUUUUUUUUUUUUUUUCCAUGAGCCUAAUUUUGUUUAGGCAAUACUUCUGGGAGUGUGCGUGAAAUUAGGGAGCAAAUCCCUUUUGAAGAGCACUUGCCUCUGAAAUUAAUUUUGUGUAAAACCAAGUGAAAUAGAGAGAACCGUACAUUUUAUGUUUCUUUGGGUUUACUUAUGUGAUUCCAUGUUUUCCAAUAUUGUUUACAGUUUUCUUUUUCCCCUAGUGGGAUAAGCUGGUGCAUUAUCUUUGUAGGUUUAUAUGACAUUCGUGCAA
rnacentral:misc_RNA from 1 species